AUUGAACGCUGGCGGCAUGCUUUACACAUGCAAGUCGAACGGCAGCGGGGGCUUCGGCCUGCCGGCGAGUGGCGAACGGGUGAGUAAUGCAUCGGAACGUGCCCAUGUCGUGGGGGAUAACGUAGCGAAAGCUACGCUAAUACCGCAUACGCCCUGAGGGGGAAAGCGGGGGAUUCUUCGGAACCUCGCGCGAUUGGAGCGGCCGAUGUCGGAUUAGCUAGUAGGUGAGGUAAAGGCUCACCUAGGCGACGAUCCGUAGCGGGUCUGAGAGGAUGAUCCGCCACACUGGGACUGAGACACGGCCCAGACUCCUACGGGAGGCAGCAGUGGGGAAUUUUGGACAAUGGGCGCAAGCCUGAUCCAGCCAUGCCGCGUGAGUGAAGAAGGCCUUCGGUUGUAAAGCUCUUUCGGCCGGGAAGAAAUACGUGGUCUCUAACAUAGGCCAUGGAUGACGGUACCGGACUAAGAAGCACCGGCUAACUACGUGCCAGCAG
rnacentral:rRNA from 1 species